rnacentral:miRNA from 1 species
UGAGAACUGAAUUCCAUGAGUUG